UUAUUCCCAUCACAUCUCUCCACAUCCUCCUCCUUCCUCUUCAACCCUUCCUUCGUAUACCCGUUCCUCGACCCCCUCCCCGCCCCAUAACCCGGGUUCAUAGAGGGAGGGAAGUCAUCAAACGAGUUCACGUCAUUCAACCCAUUUAACCCGUUCGACCUAUUAUUAUUAUUAUAAUAGGUCGACACCGACGCUUGCAGUGGUGGCAUGGCAACGGAGUUCGGGAUCUUAAUCCGAACUCCGUUGCCAUUCCCAUUUCCAUUUCCGCCACCGCCUCCAACCCCAUUCGGGCUCCCAAUACCCGAAUAACGCCGAUUAAGCGGUAUCGCAAUCGCUUGCUUAAUCCCUUUCGGAUACAACAUCAAUUCAUCUCCACCAUCCUCACCACCUCCCAUAUCCUCUUCCUCAUCAUCUUGAUUACCCGGAUCCGAACACGACGACCCUAACUCCAUCGAAUCCAUAAUCUUAAAGUGCACCCAAGAUGACGGAUACCGGUGCCCAUUCGGAACAUUCCCAAUCCGUUGGAUCUCCGCACGGUAUCUUUUCCUAAGUUUCUCCAUCUUAUGCCGGCACUGAAUCGAUGUUUUCGGUGGGUUACCCAUCGGACACCUAGCGGCGACACCAUCGGCCACCUCCUGCCAGUGGGUGGCGCGUAGGUUCCCUCGCCGGAGAGAAUACCACUUUUCUCUGUACGCCUCGAUUAACGCCACCGUCUCGUCGUGAGACCAGCACGGCGGAGGUAGGCGGCGUGUUGCCGGUGGUGGGAGGGCGAGCGUGGGUUCAGAAGAUGGUGAAUUUGAGAUAUCCAUGGUGGUUGUUACGGUGGUUUGUUACGGUGGUGGGGGGAGGGGGUAUGAUGAAAAAAGGGGGAUAGGAUAGGGUGGAAUGAUAAAGGUGGAGAGAGAGGCAUGCGGCUGAAUUGGGGAUCUAGCGGUGAGGUGGUGGAGAGGGCUAAAGUGCGCCGAGCUUAAAAUGCGCAGGGGAGUAAAAACAAAAGAAAAGGUGAGGUGAGAGGUGACGUGACCACCGGGUGUAUUAAGUAUUGGGUGGUUGAACCGGUCCACAGCCCACCACACCGCCGGGCUUUGGGCGGCGGGGUCGUUUUCUACACAUUUAUGUUAAUCUAGAUGUCUUUGCCCUAUGUUGAAGCAAAUUGGAAAAUAAAAGGCUUGCAUUAUUAAACGCUCAACCUUUCUCUUUGAACCAAACCAAACCCAUUUAAGAAGAGAAAUGAUGAUUCCAUGUCUCAAACUUUAUGUAUUUAUACAAUAAAAUAACAUUUGGAGUUAACUAUGGGGUCCAUGUUAUAACAUCAUAAUAUGAUUUUAUUAUGAGACUAUAUCGACACUAA
rnacentral:lncRNA from 1 species